GAAGUUGUUUGAGGGGGGUUGUUUGCUGGCUUUCCGGAGCACUGUGCACACCCUUCUCCCACUUUACUCCAUCCACCUGUGCACAUACUGUAGGUCUCGGAUACCUCUCUCAGCCUUCGGGCUGGCGUUGGAUGGUCGCUUUUGGGCUUCCAUCCGAUUUCCGGGGCUCUACGCUACAUUUAAACACUUAAAAUAUUCAUAGAAUGAUCUUGGGUCGCAAGACCUUUAAACUAUAAUACAACUUUCAACAACGGAUCUCUUGGCUCU
rnacentral:misc_RNA from 1 species